rnacentral:rRNA from 1 species
UACGUAGGGGGCAAGCGUUGUCCGGAAUCAUUGGGCGUAAAGAGCGCGUAGGCGGCCCAGUAAGUCCGCUCUGAAAGUCAGGGGCUCAACCCCUGGAUGCGGGUGGAUACUGCUGGGCUAGAGUCCGGAAGAGGUGAGUGGAAUUCCUGGUGUAGCGGUGAAAUGCGCAGAUAUCAGGAGGAACACCGAUGGCGAAGGCAGCUCGCUGGGACGGUACUGACGCUAAGGCGCGAAAGCGUGGGGAGCGAACAGG